GGGGGCGUAAAGGUUUCGACGGGGAUUUUGAACCAUGAUAAGCGAGUAGAGUUUGCUGGACACUCUUAAAACGCCGGUACUUUUAAAUUAAACGCUAACAAUAAUAAAUUAGCUUUAGCAGCUUAAUUUAAGCUGCUCGUCCGGCUAAGCAGUACCACGGGCUUAGUUUGGGCGUCAUUUAGUGGUGAACGUGCUGCGGGAGUUUCCCGGCCCGGAGCAUGUAUUAGGGAAUACUGAGGCGCACAGCCUGCUUUUCGGCGGUGCGCGGAGGGAAUGUAAAAAGAGAAGCUGCACUCGGAGAAGUUCAUGGGAAUAGGUUUUCGGACAGGGGUUCAAUUCCCCUCGCCUCCACCA
rnacentral:tmRNA from 1 species